rfam:Desulfosporosinus orientis DSM 765, complete genome.
CAAACAGACAGCAAAAUGUUGGAUUAUCAAGCAGGUUUUGAGACUAUGCAGACCCUUCUCUUACCUAUUCUGGCAGGGGUCAAAAUGAUCCAAGAAGGCAAUGGUACGCUG